AGUGAACGCUGGCGGUAGGCCUAACACAUGCAAGUCGAACGGCAGCACAGUAAUAGCUUGCUCUUACGGGUGGCGAGUGGCGGACGGUUGAGGAAUACAUCGGAAUCUACUUUUUCGUGGGGGCUAACGUAGGGAAACUUACGCUAAUACCGCAUACGACCUACGUGUGAAAGCAGCGGAUCUUCGGACCUUGCGCGAUUGAAUGAGCCGAGGUCGGAUUAGCUAGUUGGCGGGGUAAAGGCCCACCAAGGCGACGAUCCGUAGCUGGUCUGAGAGGAUGAUCAGCCACACUGGAACUGAGACACGGUCCAGACUCCUACGGGAGGCAGCAGUGGGGAAUAUUGGACAAUGGGCGAAAGCCUGAUCCAGCCAUACCGCGUGGGUGAAGAAGGCCUUCGGGUUGUAAAGCCCUUUUGUUGGGAAAGAAAAGCAGCAGGUUAAUACCCCGCUGUUCUGACGGUACCAAAAGAAUAAGCACCGGCUAACUUCGUG
rnacentral:rRNA from 1 species